rnacentral:rRNA from 1 species
UACGGAGGGGGUUAGCGUUGUUCGGAAUUACUGGGCGUAAAGCGCGCGUAGGCGGACCAGAAAGUUGGGGGUGAAAUCCCGGGGCUCAACCCCGGAACUGCCUCCAAAACUCCUGGUCUUGAGUUCGAGAGAGGUGAGUGGAAUUCCGAGUGUAGAGGUGAAAUUCGUAGAUAUUCGGAGGAACACCAGUGGCGAAGGCGGCUCACUGGCUCGAUACUGACGCUGAGGUG